CCAGACCUGCAGGGUAACUAUAGCAGUUGACAGGCCAGUGUAGACAGGGUAAAGUUUUCACAGUCCUACCCACAGAUGGAGAGGUACAGGCCGUCAGUGGCUUCUGAGAAAGCCAGAAUUAGCUUUGUCCAGGGACCAGCUCCUGCCUGUGAUGUCCAGUCCUGAGUGGUCAGGCCUGGACACGUGUACAAACAAGCAAUCCUAAAUGGAUGCAGUCUGUUCAUUUUAAAAACUGGGGACUGAGGCCUACAGAGUUCUAAAACUCUCACACCUUGUAGGCAGGCUCUGCCUUUAAAGGAAAACCACUUGAUACUUUGUAUUAAUUUACUAAAAUGUUCAGAUGGAUUUAAAAAAGGAAAGGUGGAUCAUCACCUUGAAUUUGACUUUAAUUGUGUUUCUUUCAUUAAUUUUUUUUUCUGUCAAGAUUUACCAGGUAAGACUGUGACAUUAGAGUGCCUUUUUAAAAAAAAAUUAAUUAAUUUUUUUACAUAUUCACUUUACAUCCUGCUCACUGCCCCUCUCCCACAAUUCUUCCCCCUCCCCUCCCUCCCCUUCUCUUCUGAGUGGGUGGGGGCCCCUUGGGUAUCACCCACCCCAGCACAUCAAGUCUCUGCUAGACUAGGUGCAUUCUCCCUCACUGAGGCCAGACAAGGCAGCCCAGCCAAAAGAGCCUAACAGCUUUCAGGAUAGGCCCUGCUCCCGUUGUUCAGAACCUACAUGAAGACCAAGCUGCAUGUCUACUACUUAGGAGCAGAAAAACCUAGGUCCAGCCUGUGUGUGUUCUCUGGUUGCUGGUUCAUCUCUGAGAGCCCCAGGGGUCCAGGUUAGUGGACUCUACUGGUCUUCAAUAACCAAUCCAUAACUGGCCCAACUCUAGACCCAUUCCAUAGACAAACACCAAUCCCUGACACAAUUAGUGAUACUAUGCUUACAGACAGGAGUUUAGCCUGUCCUCUGAGAGGCUCCACCCAACAACUGACUCAGACAAAUGCAGACACCCAUAUUCAAACCAUGGAUGGAGCUCAGGGACUCUGAUAGAAGACCAGAAGGAAGGAUUGCAGGCCCUGGAGGGAACAGGACACUAGGGUUCUUAAGAUGACCCAGCAGACAAAGGCACUUGCUAUCUGGUCUGACUUCUGUACACAUCAUUGAACACAUGGGCACAUACACACACACACACACACACACACACACACACACACACACGUGUGUGUGUGUGCGUAAAACAUUUUAAACAGGAUGCAACAUCAAAAUCUUCCUGUUGAAAAUUACAGAUAGGCCUACGAGAGCUGUGGGCUAUAUUAAAGGUUUCUUCUAUCUUGAGUGACAGCAAAGUAAACCUUGUAGGAAAAUGGAAAUAUGAAGUCAAGGCAGAUGUGAACUGUUUCCAGCCUUUACUGGGAUAUCUGCGUAGGAUUUGCACGCUGUGUGGGAAUGAGGCUCCAGUGUGGGACUGAGGCUCCGGUGUGGGGGACUGAGGCUCUAGACACCGAAGCUUGCUUCCAGGGUCAUUUAUUCAGAAGCUCCACACUUUUAUCAGUAAUAAACUAGGUACAGUAGGCUUACAUAUAUUUUUGGUUACUGAUUAACUUAAGUGCUCUACCCGCAAAGCCCUUUAUAACAAGCAAGUCAGAUGUGAGCAGUUGCCGCCAGGCCGACUUUGCCUACCGCUAGUUACUACAUCAUUCCGCAAUGUGUGUAAGGUGGUGCACCGGUUUCAGCAAGUGUCCAACAGGUAGGAAACUGGAGACAUUGUGUUUAUUAAAGGUCACUUCAUAACUCAUUUGAGCUUUAACUAAAAGCGUUGCCACGUUGGCGCGAAGCAGCUGUGUCAUGGUGUAGGAAAUGCUAAGCUGAGGUAACUGUUUAGACGCGUCCUAACUUAACAUGGUUAUUGUUGCUAACAAGGUUAAUGAUUCCUUUGCAAGAUCAAGUUGCCUGCCACGCCGAUUCAAGUCAAGAGGAUAAAGAACGUGGGAAACCGUACUUUCAUUUUCUCCACAAGUCAUGUAAAUGGUGACAUUGACUGUGAAUGAACAGUAAGAAAAGGAACUGCUCAUGAGUCUUUUUUCUUUCCAUUUGAUCAAAUUUUUAUGGAAAGCUCAGCCUAAUCAAUGGCUUUUCAAUCCAUUGCGUUAAUUGUUGACAGUAAAGUUGUAGAAAAGUGGCUUGACACAAUAAAUGUUUCCCAGAUAUUUUUCUAGAAGAUGAAAAAAUAUUUUUAUAGAACUUAAGUUCUACACAUCUGUCUCGACAGCUGUCAGGAAGCAGUGACAUUCCGUUGUGCUGUGAGUGUCUGCCACAUGGUUACCUAUUACUCCUCGGUCAAAUGUUCCCAGUGAGGUUUUAUGAUCUUCUUUAAAGAAAACUUGUGAGAGAAAAUGAACCCAUCCGACACAGCACUCAGCACUUUGAGUUAUCAACUAUCUGGGCAGACAGCGAACUUCCCGUAUUCUUCUUACAUCAUCCUUGGUCUUCUAAGGAUUGUGUCAUCAAGGGCUUCAGUUAAAUGCCAUGCACUUGCAAGAAAAAAAAAUGCUAAUUUGAUGCUAAAGAGUUUGUCGGAGCGAACUCUUGUUCCAGACUUGUACGUGUUACCUGAUUCUCACUGAAUGGACAGUGAUCGGGAGGACAGAGGGAGAGCCCGGAGGUGACACUUCUUCACGCUCUCAUUUCCAGCCAGGUUCCCCCAGAAAGAAGUUUCCAUAAGGAUCAUAUCAGAAUAUGAAGAGAGGCCCCCACAUGCAGGACCCAGCAGAUAGAACAAGCAGACCCACAGCUCCCGAAAUGGAUACUAUGAGUAACUGGAGUGAGAAGGAGUAGCAACAUGGCAGGAGAGCCCUCUGACAUCACAGGAAAGAAAAGCCACAUGUGAGAAGAAAUGAAGACUCAGUGACUUUGUAUGUAAGUGCAAACGUUAGAGGGAGUAGCAGGAUGAACUAGAGAUUCCAGGAACAUCAUGAAACCCAUUUGGAGACUUAUGGUAGAAGACAUGGCAUAGCGUGGCUUAGUAGGGUGGAAAAUCUUGUCAAACACCACUGUGCCAAAGGGUCGUCAAAGGAAAGACAGAAAAUGAGACCCCCACUUUACACGAAUACAAAACUCGAGAUGGAACAAAACAGUAAAGGAGACAGACAAAACUUCAACCCUUUCCAGGAAAUGGUAUGGCCAGGAUGCUGAGGAAGUCUUUAAGGAAUCAAAAGAUCACUAGGGAAAGGACAAUUGUGUUACGUCACGCAGAGUAGAGGAGCUGCUCACCCACCUUAUAGCAAGUAAGAACUAAUCUCUGUGGAGCAGGCUCAUGUAUGUGCUGAAAGUCUAGUACUUUCAUGUUUAUGUAGUUUUAGGCUAGCCUGAAAAACCUUAGGUUUCAUCCUGACAUUUUCAUUCAUGGGCAGCGCAGUAUCUGCUUCCUCCCACAGGCUACACUAUAGAAUAUCGAGAAGAAGAAAAAACGGUAUAAACUUAUCAUCUUGAAUUAGGCAAUGGUUCUUCAACUAUAGCAUCCAAAGCAUGAACGUGAAUGGAAAGCAAGAUCGAUUAGACUCUGACAAUUGCUUUAUCAAAGCACAGUAGCAUUAAAAAGAUGAAGAUGACUUGAAACCGUAUCUAAUGAUGCACUAGCAUUCGUGGUGAGCGCUCGCACAAUAACACAGAUAAUGAAAUUAAAUACAAUGAAUAUUAAGUCACAAAGACAUACAUCUGGCCACUAGGCUCGUGAAGAUAUAUGGUCGGCAGUGCUGAAUGAAUGAAAAUCAAAGCCACCUUAACACAGCACAUCAUUUCAUAGCCACUAGAAUGGCUUUGAUUAGAGAAGAGGGUCGGUUGGAAUGGUGAAGAGGACAUGUCAAAAUUAGAAUCGUCAUUCAUGGCUGGUGCGGAUGCCAAAUGGUUCAGCUGUUGCUCUGGUGUGUCUCCUCCAGCAUGACAUGACUGUUGCCUUCUUGAACACUCAGCAGCUGUGAAUCCCUAAUUGAAGUCCUCAAAAGACUGGGCUCAAUAACAUACAGUAGUGGGGUAAAGAGCUCCCCUUCAGGAUGACAUAAAAGUAGUCACAGUGGCUGGCUGUGGGGACAGGGACUUCUCUUGGGUUGUAUAGCUGCUUUUGAUUUGUCCGUGUUUCUGUAGGUACCUCCUCACCCCUGCUUACGUAAGUAAUCACAAUUAAAGUCAUUAAUUCACCAAGA